AUCUUCACUGCAAAGAUGGCAUUUUCUCUUGGCGUCUUCCUCCUCUGUGCGAUCUGUGGGGUGUUGACUCAACAGGUAAGUCCAAACCUCACCUGCUGACUUCAAUAAUCCAAUGGUUGAUGCAGUGUUGUGUUCAUGAAAGUUAAUGUUCUUUUCUUCUUUGCAUGCCACUGGUUGGUAGCUGUCUCACCUGGACACUUUUCCCACAUACUUCCUGGUCUUUUUCACAUAAAAUAACAUUUGUGUUGCAGGUCAAUACAUCUACCAAAAGGGUCCCAAAACCUUUGCAGAAGCAGAGGACAUAUGCAUCACAAAAUUUGGUGCCAAUCUGGUGUCAUUCCACAAUGACGACGAAUACAAAGAUGUUCUUCAAGUGAUCAAAGCCAAUAAUGGCGGAGCCAUUGUAGACACCUGGAUAGGACUCGAUGACACCAUCCAGGAGGGUGCCUUCAUUUGGACUGAUGGCAAAGUCUAUGACCCUACAGACUUUGCAAAAUUUACUGUCAAAGGCGAUACUAUAUUUGACGACUGUGUGCACAUUGGAACUGCUGGAAAUGGGCUCGUUAGCGACUGCAGUGUCCCGAGACCAUUUGUUUGCGCCUAAGAUCAAUAGUCAAAUGGACGACAGCGGCCCCUAACCGUACCAGACAUGAGCAAACUAUGACUCUGCAUGUCAUAUAUUGGCCAAUAAGCUUUUCAAUCUGUCCCACGGAAUGCUUCUAAAUCCGCUUUUACCGCCUUCAACAUUCAAUGCUAUUGAAUAAAUGGUUUCUGGAGCCGAAGCGCGGCGGCUAGGGUCUGCAGGCUAGCGUGGUGGAGGUCGUUGCUUGGGAGUUCAGAUACUCUUGAUGUUCAAUGUUUUAUUGUUCAUCUACACUCUGGCUGUCUUAAUCAAUAAAAACCUUAAAAAUCAA